rnacentral:rRNA from 1 species
UACGUAGGGUCCGAGCGUUGUCCGGAAUUACUGGGCGUAAAGGGCUCGUAGGCGGCCAACUAAGUCGGAUGUGAAAUCCCCAGGCUCAACUUGGGAACUGCAUCCGAUACUGGAUGGCUUGAAUUCGGGAGAGGGAUGCAGAAUUCCAGGUGUAGCGGUGAAAUGCGUAGAUAUCUGGAGGAAUACCGGUGGCGAAGGCGGCAUCCUGGACCGACAUUGACGCGUGAGGAGCGAAAGCUAGGGGAGCAAACGGG